rnacentral:rRNA from 1 species
GACAGAGGGUGCAAACGUUGUUCGGAAUUACUGGGCGUAAAGCGUGCGCAGGCGGUUUUGUAAGCCAGAUGUGAAAUCCCCGGGCUUAACCUGGGAAUGGCAUUUGGGACUGCAAGGCUGGAGUGUGGCAGAGGAGACUGGAAUUCCUGGUGUAGCAGUGAAAUGCGUAGAUAUCAGGAGGAAUACCGAUGGCGAAGGCAGGUCUCUGGGCUGACACUGACGCUCAUGCACGAAAGCGUGGGGAGCAAACAGG